rnacentral:rRNA from 1 species
ACUGCUCAGUAACACGUGGAUAACCUGCCCAAGGGUCCGGGAUAACCCCGGGAAACUGGGGAUAAUACCGGAUGGAUCACUAGUGCUGGAAUGCUUGGUGGUCGAAAGGUAACGCCCUUGGAUGGGUCUGCGGCGGAUUAGGUUGACGCCGGUGUAACGUACCGGCGUGCCUGUAAUCCGUACGGGUUGUGGGAGCAAGAGCCCGGAGAUGGAUUCUGAGACACGAAUCCAGGCCCUACGGGGCGCAGCAGGCGCGAAAACUCUACAAUGCAGGCAACUGCGAUAGGGGGACAUCGAGUGGCAUCCACCUUGGGUGCCUGUCCAACCGUCUAAAAAACGGUUGUUAGCAAGGGCCGGGUAAGACCGGUGCCAGCCGCCGCGGUAAUACCGGCGGCUCGAGUGGUGGCCGAUAUUAUUGAGUCUAAAGGGUCCGUAGCCGGCUUUGCAAGUCCCCUGGGAAAUCCAGCGGCUUAACCGUUGGGCUUUCAUGGGAUACUACAUUGCUUGGGACUGGGAGAGGUAGGAGGUACUCGAGGGGUAGGGGUGAAAUCCUGUAAUCCUUCGGGGACCACCGGUGGCGAAGGCGUCCUACCAGAACAGGUCCGACGGUGAGGGACGAAAGCUAGGGGCACGAACCGGAUUAGAUACCCGGGUAGUCCUAGCCGUAAACGAUGCCCGCUAGGUGUCACGACGGUCGUGAAUCGUCGUGGUGCCGUAGGGAAGCCGCGAAGCGGGCCACUUGGGAAGUACGACCGCAAGGUUGAAACUUAAAGGAAUUGGCGGGGGAGCAC